GUUUUGUCUAGCGGCCCUGUUUUUGUUUUGUCUUGCGACCCUGUUUUUGUUUUGUCUCAGGUUAGGGCGUGCGUUGGAGGAGGGGCAAGGAGAGACGGGACGCGGCAGGGGUAGGAGACAUCUUCCUCGUGCCGAGAGCAGCUACACGGACCACCCCUAGGCCACGUAGGGGAGAGGCGAGCGGAGGAGGAGAGGACCCAGGGACGCAACGGCCGAGUCGGCGAAGAGGACGUAGAAGAGGAGGGACGAAGAGAGGAGGAUCAGCUCAGGACCUGGUCUAGCCGCAGGCCGCGUCCUCCGAGCCCCACCAGCGUCCAAGCCCGCGGUAAAGGAAGGAAGGGCAUGUGACCCUAGUUUGUCGGGCGCCGGACCGCCACGGCCGGACCUAGGCCUCCGUCUACCUGGUCUAGGACCUCGGCCCGUGCUUCCUCGAGCUCCAGCUGCUGAGGCCGAAGCAGGAGGAGGAGACUGCAGCGGUGGAACGAGUCCAGGUUGUGCAGAUAGGUAGCGGGGUCAAAAAUGGUAAAGCAGUACUAAUGGUAGGGUGCGGUAGGUAUCCCACACGGAAGACGGGAAGAGUGGUGAGACUUGAGCCUCGUUCACCUUAAACCCAACCCCUUCAAAAAGCUCGAGCUUUAAUUUGGGUCAAGAUCUUAUCAUCUACGACCACGACUCUACCAGCCAUCCGUCACCGUGAGUAUCCAGAGGUAACGAAGUUUAGAUAAACCAAAAUCCACUAAACCGUGGGUUUUGAGUGUUGUGACAACGAUGUGUAGUCAAGUCCUUAGUUCCGUUUAUCGCCAUAAAGGGAAACCCCACUUACCUGCUUGACUAAUACCCUUCUGGUUGGUUCAUCAAAUAUGUUAUGAGUGUUAAAGAGUGUGAAGGUCGCUUAAUUUGACUGCUAAUCUACACGGAAGAGAGUAAGCAUGUAACAAACCCCCAAACCAAACUCUUCACCCAACGUCGUGAGUACUAAAACGAACAAAGUCCCUACCUUACUUAACCCCCAGUGGUAGAUUGUGUGUGUGUGUGUGUGUGUGUGUCUCCCUCUCUAUCUCCUAUUAAGACAAAUAAUGCAGUUGGUACAUCAUCUUUGGUCUAUCUUGAUUUGUCGAUCCCAAAACUUCAACGGAGCCAUCGACUUAGUACCAGGUACUUAAACACAUUUUGCUGUUCACGCGAUGACUUAAUUUUAAGAUGGACAAGUAAGGUAACGGGUCAAUGGUAGACUCUCCAAGAAAAAACGGUGGCGUUGAGAUUAAUCUAACAAUAUCAAGUCUGAUUCCCCUAGUUCUAAUCAGUAGACAAUCGAUACAUGAUACCUGGAGUUGUGAUCGACUCAUCGAUGCAUCGAUUAGUAACUAGAACAGAACCCACUUUCCGACCGCAAACAAUUAAGUCUAUGACUUUCAAAAGACAAGGGUAAAGGACCUAACGCCCAGGACUACGCGUUCUAAGAAGACAAACGAUACCCAGGACCUGCUACCGUUCGUAACUGCACGCAUGCGGCAACGUUGUCGGUGUGGAGUUGGGAGGGCUGCGUGCGUUAUUAGUCGCCACGGUUUUACUAAACCACAAACGUUUCCAGCGAAAACAACGUAAAAGAUGCACUCUUUGGUAGAGUCCGAUAAACCUACGUGGACGUGUCAUGACUAUCAUGUACUUUAAGUAGUUGGACGACAACGGCGUUGGUUGGUUUUAAACGAGAUUGUCUCACUACUUAUGUUAUACGUACGAUUCGAAAGAAGUUUAAUACGAUUAACUAGAAUUUUUCGACCGAUGACCACAAUAAACGACGUUAAAUAAAGACUGUCGGUCCAUCAGAACCUUACGAAAGCAUUACGUUAAAUAAAGACUAUCUGUUCGAUACGAUUAACUAGAACUUUUCGACCGAUGACCACAAUAGACGAAACACCUUCCGACAAUCGUAAUUUGAAAUCACGAGCGGACAAGUAGUAUCAGAGUAAGGGAUCUAUUAAUUACUCCGUACUUUUUAUCCACUUUAACGUCCUUUUAACUUCUACCCUUGUGCUAAGUAAAACAGUUACCCUUGUAGAUGACAAUGUCUAUGUGAAAGACAUAAGAUGGAUAGCUACCACAUUACAAACUUAUAGUUCAGUAAAGAAAAACAGUAAUCGUCAACGAAAAUAAAUACAAGUAUAAGGUUCAUACGUACACGACGAGGCCACCACAAAAUAAUCAACUAACCGUAUAUACCUAGAGAGGUACAAAUAAUCAACUAGAGGUUGGGGAUGAGACGACACCAAGACACCCUCGUUCUUCUCGUACGUACGAAAGAGAGAUGUAGAUCCCAGGUAUGCCGGUCUAACUGCCCGGAUUUGAGACCGAGUUUCCAAAGAAAGUUCUUAGUACUCUCUUGUAAGUUCCUCACCUAAUAAACCUUUAAUCUUGGAAGUCUAAAGAAUCUUGAAGUGAACCUAAAUACACUUAUAUUCGCAUUCUCCAGAUCACCGUUACGAUGUUUUAGUGACGUCCGCUAUAUUAUUGCAACAUCUAUCUGCCUCUGACUUAGUCAACUGUGAUGAAACUACAGAUAGCUCGGUUACCCUGUUGUUUCUUUUCUUCUUGGCCUUCGUCCAAUAGAUAGAAGUGCUCGUUCAACCGCAGACAUUUGGAAGUGGCCUCGGUAAGGUCGAGAAAGUCUCGGUGUUCCGUUCCUUCAACUCCUUGGUUCUGGGGUUGCCACGUCUCGUCAAACGGUAGCUCUCCUGAUCCCGACGGUAUUCCCUGGACAUCUGGUUCGAGUUGUAGAGGGAGCACGGAGGUAGUUGUGGCACAGGACCUCCCAGCAGCGGCAGGCGCUGCUGCUCGAUGACGGCGUCGAAACGGUCGGCGUGCCAAUCUCCCUCCGUAGUUCCCGGACGGUGGCGAGGGCCCCGGCUACACUAUAAGGUUAUAUGUUAUUCAAGGUAGUUCUUAACGUACAUGUACACGACGAUAGGACUAGGUUUUUCCUUUCAUUUUUCCCGCAAGUAGAUGGACCGUGGCAGGUCUACGGGGAGUUCGCCGCACGGUGCCCGCGCGGGGUUGAUGAUCAAAAAUGGUUCUCGAACUGAGUUACCUACAGAAACAGACUGUAACUGACGUUUCAAGAGGUAUUCUUUUAUCAUUUGUAUAAAAUAGAAAAACCUUGACCUUCUAAUUAAACAACCGAUCCCUUUAAUCACAAAAGUGCUCUUUGUCCCAACCUUUAUGCAAGAAGUUAUUGUUCCAGGACUUAUGUUUAAUCUUGAAGUCUUUCAACUCUAACGGUUUAGCGUGACACGUAUAACUAAACCUUUCGGGGGUAAAGUCAUCCCCGUACAAUCCUCGGUGCCCACCUCUACAGUUUCCAGGCACUCGGUUGAUGACGUUAGUUUAAGUUGGUUUAUAUGGAGAAGAUCCAGCUGGAAAACAUGAUAAUAACAUUUUGUUAUAAAAGAAAAACCAGUACAACCUACAAAACCGACACACAUAGCACGAUACGUCUCCGACCC
rnacentral:rRNA from 1 species